rnacentral:rRNA from 1 species
GUGAGGAAUAUUGGUCAAUGGGCGGGAGCCUGAACCAGCCAAGUCGCGUGAAGGAAGAAGGAUCUAUGGUUCGUAAACUUCUUUUGCAGGGGAAUAAAGUGCAGGACGUGUCCUGUUUUGUAUGUACCCUGAGAAUAAGGAUCGGCUAACUCCGUGCCAGCAGCCGCGGUAAUACGGAGGAUCCGAGCGUUAUCCGGAUUUAUUGGGUUUAAAGGGUGCGUAGGUGGUUUGAUAAGUCAGUGGUGAAAGUUUGCAGCUUAACUGUAAAAAUGCCGUUGAAACUGUCGGACUUGAGUGUAAAUGAGGUAGGCGGAAUGCGUGGUGUAGCGGUGAAAUGCAUAGAUAUCACGCAGAACUCCGAUUGCGAAGGCAGCUUACUAAGCUACAACUGACACUGAAGCACGAAAGCGUGGGGAUCAAACAGGAUUAGAUACCCGAGUAGUCC